UAAUGUAGUUCCACGAGUUCAGUGCGCAGCCGAGUGUAGUAGAUAAUCAUAAAUUUCGCAAUCGUAACUUGCUUGACACAGUCCCAGGCGCGUGCUGGUGAAGGAUAGGGCAACGCAUGAAGGGAGCGUCCGGUGGAUGUCCUCAUACAAAAAUCGACCUAUCAAUCCGGACCAAAAUAUGGUGAAUGCUUGUAAAAAAUCGCUUCCAUAAAGGUACUUGAGCACCACCGAAAGCUUGACAUUUGUGCAGAGCACAUCUAAAUUGGAAUUAUUGUAUUAAAACACGCGACCGUGACGUUUGGGGCCCACUGCGCCAACAACAAUCGAAAAGUCUUCAGUGAGAAGGAAAAACAAAAAUCGAAUUUGAAAAGAUGACAAAGUGUUGGCACACAGUGGAAUUGGCAGGAGAUAGUCGGUAAAUGCCGAAAACAAACACUGCGCCGCGGCGAGAAAAUAAAACGAAACCAAACACAUGACAACGUGUCGAUGGGCCCAAAUGCAAUAAAGCCAAAUACGCGUUCCGGUGGGAUUGAAUGAAAAAAUGUAUACCCACACAUAAAGCAUAAAAACAAUAACAAAGCAACGUAAAAAAGCGAAAAUUGAAUCAAGAGAAAAUCCAAAGCGACGCAAAGCACCAACCCAAAAGAAGUAAAUAAAGUACUGUUACGAAUGGACGAAUACUCGAAAGACUGAAGGCAAGUGUUCGCGAGCAAAAACUGGGUAAACAAACAAUACAAAGAUGCUCUUGAAAGUUUCGAGAAGGUGACAAUCCGUGCGGCGGUUGUGGUAUCAAAGCAAAGCGUGUCAAACAAAGUGUUGAGAUUUCGUUGAUUUUAUUUGGUAUUGUUUGUCUCCUUUUCGGCAAGUGUCCUUUUGUGGGACUUUAAUUCGAAUUCUAAAUGAGUAAACAUCGGAAAUCCUUAUUACCCAUUAUCAAGCAAAAUAUUAGACAUAAGUACUGCACACAUAUGGGAGACAUCACUCGAUGUAGCGUUAAUUUGUUCCCUUCGUUAAGCUCAAUAAAACACGUUUAUGCCUCGUUGAUUUCUCAACUCAAACUUUUAUACAUAUGUAUAUCUAAUAUAUUGGUACUAUACUGUUUUUUUUAUUUCAAAGCUCUUACUGAGAAUUAAUAUAGUUAUUACCUUUUGUAAAUAUUUCGUCAAUUGAGUCAAAUAAACACCAUACAGAUGAAA